GAUAGGAAAAGGCUGACGGUAAAUGUAGGGAAAUCAAAGAUUAUGAGAUUAAGGAAAGGAGGCGGUAGAAGGAAAAACAUAGAUUGGAGAUGGAAAGGGAAAAAGAUAGAGGAGGUGAAAGAGUUCAGCUAUCUCGGGUAUAGAGUAAAGUGCAAUGGGGGACAGGAAGCACAGGUGAAAGAAAGAGUACGGAAGGCAGGGGUAGUAAUGAGGCAGGUAUGGGGAAUACGAAAAAGAAGGUUUGAGAGGGAUUGGGAAAAAAGGAUUUGGUUAUUUGACAGGCUAGUAUGGACGGUAAUAGAGUAUGCAUCGGAGAUAUAGGGGUGGAGGGAAAGAGAGUCUUCGCCUGUG